rnacentral:rRNA from 1 species
AUGAACGCUGGCGGCGUGCCUCAUCCAUGCAAGUCGAGCGAACAGACGAGGAGCUUGCUCCUCUGACGUUAGCGGCGGACGGGUGAGUAACACGUGGAUAACCUACCUAUAAGACUGGGAUAACUUCGGGAAACCGGAGCUAAUACCGGAUAAUAUAUUGAACCGCAUGGUUCAAUAGUGAAAGACGGUUUUGCUGUCACUUAUAGAUGGAUCCGCGCCGCAUUAGCUAGUUGGCAAGGUAACGGCUUACCAAGGCAACGAUGCGUAGCCGACCUGAGAGGGUGAUCGGCCACACUGGAACUGAGACACGGUCCAGACUCCUACGGGAGGCAGCAGUAGGGAAUCUUCCGCAAUGGGCGAAAGCUUGACGGAGCAACGCCGCGUGAGUGAUGAAGGUCUUCGGAUCGUAAAACUCUGUUAUUAGGGAAGAGCAAAUGUGUAAGUAACUAUGCACGUCUUGACGGUACCUAAUCAGAAAGCCACGGCUAACUACGUG